rnacentral:rRNA from 1 species
CCCUUAGAUGUCCUGGGCCGCACGCGCGCUACACUGACAUGUUCAACAAGUUUCUCCUAGUUCGACAGGACUGGGAAAUCUUUGAACGCAUGUCGUGAUAGGGAUAGAUCAUUGCAAUUAUUGAUCUUGAACGAGGAAUUCCUAGUAAACGCGAGUCAUCAGCUCGCAUUGAUUACGUCCCUGCCCUUUGUACACACCGCCCGUCGCUCCUACCGAUUGAGUGGUCCGGUGAGGCUUUGGGAUCUGAGCGGAAAGAGCGUUUCGCUGUUUCUGCUCGGAAAACUCAGUCGAACCUUAUCAUUUAGAGGAAGGAGAAGUCGUAACA